UACGUAGGGUGCAAGCGUUAAUCGGAAUUACUGGGCGUAAAGCGUGCGCAGGCGGUGAUGUAAGACAGUUGUGAAAUCCCCGGGCUCAACCUGGGAACUGCAUCUGUGACUGCAUCGCUGGAGUGGCGGCAGAGGGGGAUGGAAUUCCGCGUGUAGCAGUGAAAUGCGUAGAUAUGCAGAGGAACACCGAAUGGCGAAGG
rnacentral:rRNA from 1 species